GUCUCUUCGGGGAUGAUUAAACCGGCGCACGGGUGAGUAACACGUGAGUGACCUGCCUUUUAGACUGGAACAACUUACCGAAAGGUGAGCUAAUGCCGGAUGAGUUAUAUAAGUGCAUGUUUAUAUAGGAAAAGUUGGGGAGACCUGACGCUGAAAGAUGGACUCGCGUCCCAUUAGCUAGUUGGUAGGGUAAUGGCCUACCAAGGCGACGAUGGGUAGCCGGCCUGAGAGGGUGGCCGGCCACACUGGGACUGAGACACGGCCCAGACUCCUACGGGAGGCAGCAGUGGGGAAUUUUGCGCAAUGCUCGUAAGAGUGACGCAGCGACGCCGCGUGAAUGACGAAGGCCUUCGGGUCGUAAAGUUCUUUCGACAGGGAAGAAAAUGCCUAUAAGUAACUGUGUAUGUAUUGACGGUACCUGUAUAAGCAGCCCCGGCUAACUCCGUGCCAGCAGCCGCGGUAAUACGGAGGGGGCGAGCGUUGUUCGGAGUGACUGGGCGUAAAGAGCACGUAGGCGGUGUUGUAAGUCAUUAGUCAAAGACUAGAGCUCAACUUUAGUAAGGCUAGUGAUACUAUAAUACUAGAGUAUCAGAGAGGAUUGCAGAAUUCCUGGUGUAGCGGUGAAAUGCGUAGAUAUCAGGAGGAAUACCGUUAGCGAAGGCGGCAAUCUGGCUGGAAACUGACGCUGAGGUGCGAAAGCGUGGGUUAGCAACAGGAUUAGAUACCCUGGUAGUCCACGCUGUUAACGAUGGAUGCUAGGUGUUG
rnacentral:rRNA from 1 species